GACGAACGCUGGCGGCGUGCUUAACACAUGCAAGUCGAACGGAAAGGCCCUGCUUUUGUGGGGUGCUCGAGUGGCGAACGGGUGAGUAACACGUGAGUAACCUGCCCUUGACUUUGGGAUAACUUCAGGAAACUUGGGCUAAUACCGGAUAGGAGCUCCUGCUGCAUGGUGGGGGUUGGAAAGUUUCGGCGGUUGGGGAUGGACUCGCGGCUUAUCAGCUUGUUGGUGGGGUAGUGGCUUACCAAGGCUUUGACGGGUAGCCGGCCUGAGAGGGUGACCGGCAACAUUGGGACUGAGAUACGGCCCAGACUCCUACGGGAGGCAGCAGUGGGGAAUAUUGCACAAUGGGCGGAAGCCUGAUGCAGCAACGCCGCGUGCGGGAUGACGGCCUUCGGGUUGUAAACCGCUUUCGCCUGUGACGAAGCGUGAGUGACGGUAAUGGGUAAAGAAGCACCGGCUAACUACGUG
rnacentral:rRNA from 1 species